GUCUUUUGUUGAUGUGGGGGUGGAAAAUGCAAUACGUGUAGGCGCAUGAGUGGUGUUUUGCUUGUGUUGGUUGGUUGGAUCCUUGCUUUGGCAACGACGUCCAUCCUCACAUGCAUCUUCAAUCGAGUCUCGAGACACAUACUGUCUCGGGUUUUGUACUGGUUUCCUGUGUUGUGUACCUUUUUAGAUGGCAAUCGAUGGUCUAAAUGUUCAAUUUCGCCUUUCGUUGUCUCUUUUUGGGGUAGCGUAAGGUGAACCAUGAAGUAAUCUCUGUGUCCCACUCCAUUCACAUUGAAUUGUGCUUUUGGAUUGGUCCACAGGGUAUUUGCUUGAGCUCUUGGAUGCGGUGCAUUGAAUAUGGGCAUGAGGUCUCACGUCCUCUUUUUGCCCAAACAAAAGCUUUCAUCGCUUAGUUGCGAACGAUUGCGAUCCCCGUUUCGAGCCUUUUGGCAAGUGCGGUGAUGGCUUCGUUGAGGAAUGCUACCUGGUUGAUCCUG
rnacentral:misc_RNA from 1 species